GCAAGCUUUUUAAAUUAUUUUAAGUUGCAGAACAAUUGUUUAUUAAUGUGAAAUCGAAGUUUGGGGUGAUUUUUUUUAUAGUCUAACUCUUAUCUCGUUAAAUAUUGCUCAGCAUGAAACCGCAUGAAGAGCAGUUUUCGAUUUUGUCAACAAUCUGAAACGUGCUAGGGGGUAGCCAUGUAUCGGUUUACCUGUGGCCUCCAGAUGAUCUGAAGAUCAGGAAUAUAGAAGAUAUUGUCAAUUUGAUAUUGCUUAUGACCCAGUCAAGUCUGCUGAAGCCCAGAAGUUUCCAGACCAUGACAUUAAUGAAUAUUUCUAGAAUGGAAUGCAUGAAGAUUAGGAUGGAACCUUAUUCUGCCUGUUAACCAACUCACGCCAUCUUUUCAAGAUUCAUGGAGCCAACCACAGAAGAAUUUGUUCUAUACACAUCAUUCAUAACAUUCUUAUUUAUGUUACAUAAAAAAGGUGUGGGCACUUUAAUUAAAUGUUACUGGAUGAAUUGUUUCAACAAUAAGUGUUCACAUAAUGAAUACCAACAAACUUUUUAUGGAGUGCACUUAUUUUGUAUUUUUCCCAUCCAUCUAAUAUAUGUUUUUAUAUAACAUAUUCAUAUACAUGUAAUAUUUUUGGAAACAGCUAUCUUUAUUUAAUUUAAAUUUGGCAUUACUAUUUCAUAUAAGUUUUCUAAUAUACUCUUUUGUAUACAAACAGAACAAAAAUACUCAGUAACAAUUGGAAAUGGACAUAAUAUAUAUAAAAAUUGUCUGAUAAAUGUAUAGGUCUUGUUCAUGAACAGAAGAAAUUGACAGAAAAAUAUGAAGUUUUAGCCAUCAAAUACAAAUAUACAUAUUUUUUACAAUAUUAUUUAAUAUAAGAUGAAAAAGAAUUAAGAUAUAAUUUUUUCCCUUUUAAUCAUAUGCUUGGAAACAAAGCCGCAGAAAUUUGUACCAUUUAUAUCUAAUAUUGCUGCACAGUAUAUCCUAUUGAUCCCUGUAACAUAUCACUAGUUUCUAGAACAGCAUGUCAAUUACUUUAUUUUUUCUUAGAAUGAUGUAUAGGGGUCAUUAAUUUAUUUUCAUUUUAUUAAACUAGAUACAAAUAGGCCUACUGCAACCAUUUCACCAUUUAAAUGGUAUGGAGCUUUUGAAACAAGUCUUGUGAUUAAUUUUGAAUUACCUUUCAUAUGAAAUAUGUCAUCUAAAUCUUUUAUUGCUGUACAGUAUAUCCUAUCCAUUUAAUAUAUCACUUUAUUUAUGUUGAACUGCAUGUCUAUUAGUUUUAUGAUUUUUAAAGAUUGAUAUAUGCAAUUUUAUUAAUUAAGAAAUUUUUUUUUAAAAAAGAUCUCAU